UACGUAGGGUGCGAGCGUUUGUCCGGAAUUACUGGGCGUAAAGAGCUCGUAGGUGGUUUGUCGCGUUGUUCGUGAAAACUCACAGCUCAACUGUGGGCGUGCGGGCGAUACGGGCAGACUGGAGUACUGCAGGGGAGACUGGAAUUCCUGGUGUAGCGGUGGAAUGCGCAGAUAUCAGGAGGAACACCGGUGGCGAAGGCGGGUCUCUGGGCAGUAACUGACGCUGGAGGAGCGGAAAGCGUGGGGAGCGAACAGG
rnacentral:rRNA from 1 species